rnacentral:rRNA from 1 species
UACUCCUACGGGAGGCAGCAGUGGGGAAUAUUGGACAAUGGGCGCAAGCCUGAUCCAGCCAUACCGCGUGGGUGAAGAAGGCCUUCGGGUUGUAAAGCCCUUUUGUUGGGAAAGAAAUCCAGCUGGUUAAUACCCGGUUGGGAUGACGGUACCCAAAGAAUAAGCACUGGCUAACUUCGUGCCAGCAGCCGCGGUAAUACGAAGGGUGCAAGCGUUACUCGGAAUUACUGGGCGUAAAGCGUGCGUAGGUGGUCGUUUAAGUCCGUUGUGAAAGCCCUGGGCUCAACCUGGGAACUGCAGUGGAUACUGGACGACUAGAGUGUGGUAGAGGGUAGCGGAAUUCCUGGUGUAGCAGUGAAAUGCGUAGAGAUCAGGAGGAACAUCCAUGGCGAAGGCAGCUACCUGGACCAACACUGACACUGAGGCACGAAAGCGUGGGGAGCAAACAGGAUUAGAUACCCUGGUAGUCCACGCCCUAAACGAUGCGAACUGGAUGUUGGGUGCAAUUUGGCACGCAGUAUCGAAGCUAACGCGUUAAGUUCGCCGCCUGGGGAGUACGGUCGCAAGACUGAAACUCAAAGGAAUUGACGGA